rnacentral:rRNA from 1 species
GACGAACGCUGGCGGCGUGCUUAACACAUGCAAGUCGAGCGGUAAGGCCCUUUCGGGGUACACGAGCGGCGAACGGGUGAGUAACACGUGGGUGACCUGCCCUCAGCUCUGGGAUAAGCCUGGGAAACCGGGUCUAAUACUGGAUAUGACUCCAUGACGCAUGUUGUGGGGUGGAAAGCCUUGUGCGGCUGAGGAUGGGCCCGCGGCCUAUCAGCUUGUUGGUGGGGUGAGGCCUACCAAGGCGACGACGGGUAGCCGGCCUGAGAGGGCGACCGGCCACACUGGGACUGAGACACGGGCCCAGACUCCUACGGGAGGCAGCAGUGGGGAAUCUUGCGCAAUGGGCGAAAGCCUGACGCAGCGACGCCGCGUGAGGGAUGACGGCCU